AAAUCAGAUCAGAGCAAAGCUGAUGGGUAACAAAGAAGUUGAUGUAGAGGGUCCCUCCAUUAAGUCUCUACAUAAUUAUCGAUGAAAAUGUUUCCUUCCUCCUACAAUUAUGCUAACAAAUCCAGAGAGGGAAUACUUCACACUGAUGCUAGUAUGAUGCUAGUAUGAAAACAAGAUUAUUCUGUGCCACAAACAAAUUGUUCAGAAAGGGGACAUUGGUGGAUUUGCAUUUUGGGUACAGUUCAAAGAAUUUUCAAAAUGAUGAUGGAAGAUCAGAGGGAGGACAAAUGGGAAAAGUUGACAGAGAAAGAAAAGAAUUAGGAAAUAUCUGGAAUAAAUAUGAAUGAGAAGGAUGUACUUAAUUUUGUCAGACUUUGGCAUGCAAGGCUUUCUACAUUUAUAUGUAUACUGGAAUAUCAUUUUGAUUGUAAAAUCUCAUUCUAAUGUAUUCACAUUUUAUAUUUCAUGCUUUAUGCAUAAAUACAUAAACAUUUUUAUGAAAAACUAUAUAUAUGUAUAUAUGUAUCUUUGUUCGAUCGAGACAUCAUCCUUUGUGAUUUCAUACUCAUUUAUGUGUUAAAUAUGCUGUAGGUACAUGUAAUCUGAAUUACUUAUGAUUUGUCAUAAAUUUACAAUAGAGAUUACAUAUAUUGACAAAUGUUGUUGCAGAUAUUUCAAUUUUGCUAAGGACACUUCCAUGUCAUAUAGUAUUUUUAUACAAGUUCAUGAUCUAAUUAUGUUAUUCAUUGGUACAUGUAUACAUGUUCGUCUCCUUGAUCAUUUUGCUGAAAUCCUUUCAAAUAAUUUGUACUCGUUUUAGAAUAUGUAAAAUACAUGUAUCGACAAAUGCUACUGACUUGUUUGUAUACUUUCUUGUUUAAAGUGUGCACUGUGUGAUAUUAGUUAUUUCUGUUGAUGAAGAUACUUUUGGAAAAUUGUGCAAGCAUUAUCAAAUAUUUACAGGUAUUUAACAGAUCAUUGGAAUGUACUGAAAUUUCAUCUAAAGCAGAAAUACCUGAUUUUCAAUGUGUACA